rnacentral:rRNA from 1 species
GGAGUGGCGCACUGCUCAGUAACACGUAGCUAACCUAACCUCAAGACGGAAAUAACCCCGGGAAACUGGGGUCAAUGUCUGAUAGAUGUGAAUUCCUGGAAUGGUGUCACAUCCAAACGUCAACACACCAUGUUGUGCGAACGCUUGAGGAUGGGGCUGCGGCCGAUCAGGCUGUUGGUGGGGUAAUGGCCCACCAAACCUUUGACCGGUAUGGGCCAUGAGAGUGGUAGCCCAGAGAUGGACACUGAGACAAGGGUCCAGGCCCUACGGGGCGCAGCCGGUACGAAACCUCCACAAUGCACGCAAGUGCGAUGGGGUUAUCUCGAGUGCUAUCUGAAAAAGGUAGCUUUUCCAUGGUCUAAAUAGCCGUGGGAAUAAGGGGGGGGCAAGACUGGUGUCAGCCGCCGCGGUAACACCAGCCCCCCGAGUGGUAGGGAUGUUUAUUUGGCCUAAAGCGUCCGUAGCCGGCUAAGUAAAUUUCUCGUUAAAUCCAACGUCCUAAGCGUUGGGCUGCGAGAAAGACUGCUUAGCUAGAGGGUGGGAGAGGUCAGCGGUAUUCCUGGGGUAGGGGCGAAAUCCAUUGAACCCAGGAGGACCACCAGUGGCGAAGGCUGCUGACUAGAACACGCCUGACGGUGAGGGACGAAAGCUGGGGUAGCGAAUCGGAUUAGAUACCCGAGUAGUCCCAGCCGUAAACGAUGCAGACUAGGUGUUGGGUUGGCCACGCGCCGACUCAGUGCCACAGGGAAGCCAUUAAGUCUGCCGCCUGGGAAGUACGGCCGCAGCUGAAACUUAAAGGAAUUGGCGGGGGAGCACCACCAGGCGUGAAGCCUGCGGUUUAAUUGGAGUCAACGCCGGGAACCUUACCGGGAGCGACAGCAGAGUGAAGGCCAGGCUAAAGGUCUUGCCAGACGAGCUGAGAGGAGGUGCAUGGCCGUCGCCAGUUCGUGCCGUGAGGUGUCCUCUUAAGUGAGGUAACGAACGAGACCCGCGCCGCAUGUUGCUAACAAGUCCUAAAGGGAUGUUGAGCACUCUUGCGGGACCGCAGCCGACAAGGCUGAGGAAGGUGCGGGCAACGGCAGGUCAGUAUGCCCCGAAUCUCCCGGGCCACACGCGGGCUGCAAUGGUAGAGACAGAGGGCUGCAACCCCGAAAGGGGAAGCCAAUCCCUAAACUCUACCUCAGUUGGGAUUGAGGGCUGCAACCC